GCUUCAAUAGUUUAACAGGAAAAAACUCAGAUCUCAUAUAUUUGUAAUGGAAGUUCGAUCCUUCCUUGAAGCU
rfam:Metarhizium majus ARSEF 297 Scaffold_95, whole genome shotgun sequence.